rnacentral:lncRNA from 1 species
UAGACAGAAACCGACCAACUCAGUAUCAUUUGGGUUGAAUGCCUUUUAUUUGUCACAAAUUUCCGAAAUAUUCGAAAGACAGUAGACGGGAUUUUCAAUAUAAAAAUAACGACUUUCUCUCUCGCUUAGAAAAUCAGCGCAAUAUAAUUAUGAUGCACUCAGAACUGAAUCUGAAAUUAGGUAAGAAUAAAAGAUAAACUAAUUAUGAUUAUUAUUAUACUGUUUAUGCUUGUUUAGGGACCCAACUCAUUAAUGAUCCAAUCGAUGAUGAGGGAAUGAUAAAGGCUGAACCGGAGCCAAUUGAUGAUGGCCAUGAGGCGGAUGACGAAAAUGAUUCUGGAGGUGAUUCUGAAGAUGAGCUUGAAGUGGACGAAUCUGACGAUGAGUUCAAAGAACGGGAGAAGGAGGAAGAUAGUGACGAGAUGGAUAUUGACAACCUAAGUCGCUCACUUAGUUUUUCCAAUUAUUUUUAAUGUUUCGAUCAAUGAUGCAUAUUUAUAGAUAGCAAUUGAUAAUCGUUUAAUUAUCGUUUAACACAUUACAUUUCUACAUUUCUGAAAGCAGCCGAGAAACUUAAAUUAUCGUUAAUUUUUGAGCAACUUGAUUCGAAAUUUAAACAAUCUGUAAGCCAAAAUUCCAAGUUUCACAACAAUGUAAGCAUACAUUUUUGGUUAAUAGCAAUGUAUAACUUCCCUAAUUCUACAAUAGGUUCCUAAUCCUCCCAAUGUGACACGUGCCAUGCAGCAGGCCAGCUCGGUCGAUCGCAUUGUUUUCCACUUCUACAACGCCAGAUCACAUUUCGGAGAAGAAACAAGAUCUCACCGUUCUGGAUUGUGAGACCACACCAACUGCCAUGGCAUGCUCGUGAAUCGUAGCGAUGAAACCAGCUGGAAUUUCCCCCUAACUUGCAUUUCUUCCCAGUAAAAUGUGGACCACACACGAAAAGAAAGCUCCUCCCUCUGCACAUAAAUAUAAGACGAAAUAAGAAAUACAAAAAAUACAAAAACACAAAA